rnacentral:rRNA from 1 species
CGCCAACCAGCUAGCCCACCAAAACUACAAAAACAACCCUCAACAUUUAUAACCCCAAAGGCACCCCCACCACAUAAACCAAACCAUUUUUCCCCCUUAGUAUGGGCGACAGAAAAG